AUCCUACGGGGCGCAGCAGUAGGGAAUAUUGCUCAAUGGGGGAAACCCUGAAGCAGCAACGCCGCGUGGAGGAUGAAGGUUUUCGGAUUGUAAACUCCUUUUGUUAGAGAAGAUAAUGACGGUAUCUAACGAAUAAGCCCCGGCUAACUACGUGCCAGCAGCCGCGGUAAUACGUAGGGGGCGAGCGUUAUCCGGAUUCACUGGGCGUAAAGGGAGCGCAGGCGGCACGGCAAGUCCGGUGUGAAAGCCCGGGGCCCAACCCCG
rnacentral:rRNA from 1 species